AAUCCUAAAUGUCAACUUUUCAAGCCUCCCCCCUUAAUCUGAUCCUAGGUGUCAACUUUUCAAACCUCCCCCAUUCUAGGUGUAAUUUUCCUAGAUUUUUUAUUUUUAAUUAAAUUUUAUGCUAAAGAAGAAAGGUAAACAUCUGAUUAAAUCACUACCAAGGAAAAUGGGCGCCUAAUUGACUUUCAUAGAGAAGAUUCAAAUUUUGAAUCCCUUCGAUUUCCUCAAACAUGCUAACAAAAACAAAGGAGAUAACGUUUAGGGGUUCUUGCAUCAUUGCCUUUUUCCCAUCGCAGAUGCCUAUCCUUAUCGUGGCUUCUCUAAUAAUUGAAGCCCUAAUCAAAGUUGUUGCUUCUCUAACAAUUGAAGCCCUGAUCAACGUUAUUGCUUCUCCCCGUAUGUCUUUCUUCCUCGAUGAUGCCCUAAAUCUCUUCCAGGUUCGAUGUCAAUGGUAGGUGUUUUCGGUAGAGGUGGAAUUUUGGCUCUGAUCGGGAUUACAUGUGCCUGAUUUGGUGGGGAUAUCAGAUUCCGGUCAAGGCUAGGGUUCCGGCGAGUACUUAGUGCCUCACGACUACUCCGGCUACAACUUGGUUUUCUGGUGACUAGCGGUUUAAUUCCGGUGAAUAGGACAACAUAAACCUGAAAGAAAACACAUAUGGAUACCGAAGGAAAUGGAGAAAAUGCCUCUUUGGUUCUGAUAAAGCAAGGGGCUGAAGCUAUAAUUAACUAAGCCUCAAUGAAGAUUCAAGCUUCUGAUCUGGAAUGAAAAUGCAAGAAGAUUUCAAAAUUCAACAUUGAAAUAUGAAAUUUGGUACACGGAAUUUUUGGGAUUGCUUUUCAUAUCACGGUUCAACCAUGGUGUGUAGGAAGGAUGUCACCUUCCUUAUCAUAAAGCUUGAUGUUUGAGGGUGACUAUAUCAAAUGGGAAAAGAAAAGAAAUCUCAUUCAAUGGAAGUUGCUUCUGUAUAAAAGUGGAGAUCAUAUAUAGUUAACGAGUUGGAGGAAUGGCUCAGAGAAGAGAAGCUGGUGAACAACUCGCAUUUCCCCCUUCUUCCACCAAGAACCUUUUAGACCUUCUUGAUUGGUUCAGUUGUUAUAUUCGACAACAUUUCAGCCAACAGAUCGGUCUCAUAUGGUAUCAUCGGCGGUUUUGUGCUCCUGUAAUUUAAUUGCAGUUUGUCCACCACAACUUAUUGUUAGCCUGAAAUAUACUGUCGUUGCUUCGCCAGCGACCAGCGCUGCUGCGCGUUCCACCACUCGGUCUCACCAGAUUAACACAACCAUGAGAUGGGAUCGGUAAGGUGGUGUUUGGAGGUCAGGUUUCUGAUUAAGAGGUUGAGAGCUUGAACAAAAGGGUUGAGAUCUAUCUAUUCUAUUUAAGAUGAACUAAAGCUUUCUUGAAUCGAUCCAACCCUUCAACCUUGGUGUUACGGCUGCUACUCAGAAGGAUCUUACAUCUGGUAUGCAAUAUCUUCUUCUUAUCAACCUUAAGCUUAAUGGCGGCGGUGGAAAGGGUGUUCGGGUCUGGUCGAGUCAAAUUCAAGGGCUUUCAUGACAUUUGGAACCAAAAGCUUGAUUAGGUGAAUAGCAAAGGGGUUGCUUGCCCAGGGAGGGUUAUAGUCAGCUCAAUGGGUGUUAGACCUAUUUAAGGGCUCACCUGGUGCACAACACAUGGAUUGCUGGCACAACACAAAAUACUUGUGAUUAUUGUUUUUUUAAGGUUAUAUGUUGGAAGCAAUAACGAGACCCUUCUUAAAGACCCCCGGUAUCUUGGAUUGCAAGAACACUGUCUUGAAGGUGCGGAGUAUGUUUCCAUCAUUGAUGAAUUUAUGCCGUAUGAUUUCUCUGGAAGUUGUAGCAAUUGGAAGAACAUUUGCUGGAAUGAAAGAUUAUCAGCUGGAUGGAAACAAAGAAAUGGUGGCACUAGGCUCCAUGAACAUGGUCAUUAAGCAACAUUCUAUUCAUGGAACUUCUGUAUAGGCGCAAGUUUGUCUAAAUUUUAACCUUUUGAUAUGUUUAUAAGUUGUACACAAAAUGUUAAGAAACACAAGUUGGGUUGAACGUUUUAGCUUGUUAGGAAAAACAAUCCAAGGCGGAUUGGUUUGAUUAGUUUUAAGCUUAUGGUUGUGCUUUUGUUGGCUUGGCGCAGUUCGUUUUGUUUACAUCUUUUUAAAACUCUUUAAAUCCCCAUGACCGGUUUUUAAGUACCUUAACCAAAAAUUAAGAUUUUAGUUACGACCCAAGUAAACAGAACCUUUUCAUGCACACCCUUAGAAUUACUAACAAGUGUUGUGUUUUGCGUUGCAUCGCGAAUUUGGUUUUUGUUAUGGCUCAAAACCGAACUGCCCCGUACAUAGCCCUAAACUCACCAACCUAAAUUAUAUGUUUCCCGCCGCAUCGCGCGGGUAUACGACUAGUAACUGGAUGGUUAAAUUGGUAAUUUAACACCAAGUUUUUAAGAUGGCAUACCAAGAGUCUCUUCAUCUGCAAUCCUGCCUCGCUGUGUUCUCAACGUUCUUCCAUUUGGUUUCUGCCUCAGCUUUGCCAUCACCGGAAGGGCAUGUGUAUGUUUUGAUUUUAGUCAUAAAUUCCCAACACGAUCCUUCAAUUGAGUCUUUAAAUGUUUUAUUAUGUCAAUCUGGUGUUAAUUUCAGUUUUGCUAUUACUUGGUCUUUAAAUAUUGUAUGCAGCUGAUCGAUGUGUUUGUAAUUGUUGAAGAUAGUGAGUGAUAUUCAUGUCCUAUUUGCAAUCUUGUUUUAGUUUUGAUUAAACAAACCCCUAUUGUUGUGACAUUUUUCCUAAUUAGUCCCUCCGACAGGGGCUGAGGGGGUGUUUCAUAUGGCUAAUUAGGAACUGCGUAUUGGUGUGAUAUGUUAUGAGGGUGUUUGUGAUUGCGUAUUGGAACUGCUUGUUUGAUUUGUUACAAGGGUUUUGAAUAACCACCUUGAAUUUUCUUCUUUUCUCAAGAUCAAGAUCCGAGUGUCGGCUGUAGUUACAAAUGCUGAAUGUUGAUUGUGAUCGCCACAUAAACAACAGUAAAGCCCUGUAUUCCCACAACGGUCGUGUUCUUUAAUAUCAACAUGAAAGGGCUGGAUGGACCUGUUUACGUGGGAACCAGCAUAUGAGGCAAAACCUGCAGCUGCUUGCCAAAAUGUUGUUGUUUUGCAAAGGAGAAAACCCAAAUACAUGCAUUCGAGGUUAUUCAUGCAUGGUUAAGCUAUUUCCCAAUCAACGGAGAUCUUUUUGAGGCUAAAGUUGUUCAUUGGUCGAAAGAUGGUAAGACUUUGAAGAAGCCAUUGAGAAGGAACGAUUGGAUGCUGAGUUGAAGCUUGUUGGGAAGUAGAUGCAAACGUGAAUAUAAUGCUUGAGGAGAAGGACCCACGUAGGUAGGAUCUUUGAGGAGAACGAGCACGUAUGGUUUGUUGGAUAAGAGCCAGAACAAGCUCACGUACUUGUUGGCUCUCACUUUUGACAACUUUCUUGAAUGCCCGCGUCAGACCCUUGUGUUCAAGACUGGGUUGGAAGGCACCGCUGGUGAAGCACAUUGACUUCUCACUCACAAGCCCAUUUGGAGGUGGAGAUGCUGACGAAGAAUGAGCUUACUCUUCUGGUCAUCAUUAUGCCUUUAUAGAACGUCGACAUGUUUGCUGAUAUGGUCUUCUCGUACUUGGUUUUUCUUUGUGGUGUUCAUUGAUUGCAAUAAUAAUAAUAUCCUAACCUUAUAAUUGAAAA